CGAAGUCUUUCCCAGAUCUGCGAUGCCAAAGCAGUUCAUGAGAAUUACAAAAGAUAAGAAUUACAAAAGGACAGAGAAUGCAACACCUGAGAGAGUCGAUAUAAUAAAUAGAGCCUUGUUACUACAGAGAGCUAAAAGACAUGAUUUAUGAGGUAAAUAUCAAAUGUGCAAUCACAAUUAAACAUUGCUAAAAGGGCCAUUG
rnacentral:misc_RNA from 1 species